rnacentral:rRNA from 1 species
UACGUAGGUGGCAAGCGUUAUCCGGAUUUACUGGGUGUAAAGGGCGUGUAGGCGGGAAAGCAAGUCAGAUGUGAAAACCACGGGCUCAACCUGUGGCCUGCAUUUGAAACUGUUUUUCUUGAGUACUGGAGAGGCAGACGGAAUUCCUAGUGUAGCGGUGAAAUGCGUAGAUAUUAGGAGGAACAUCGGUGGCGUAAGCGCUUUACUGGGCCGUAAUUGACGCUGAGGAACGAAAGCCAGGGUAGCAAAUGGG